rnacentral:rRNA from 1 species
AGUGAACGCUGGCGGUAGGCCUAACACAUGCAAGUCGAACGGCAGCACAGUAUGCGCUUUCUCUUACGGGUGGCGAGUGGCGGACGGUUGAGGAAUACAUCGGCAUCUACUUUUUCGUGGGGGAUAACGUCGGGAAACUUACGCUAAUACCGCAUACGACCUACGGGUGAAAGCAGGGGAUCUUCGGACCUUGCGCGAUUGAAUGAGCCGAUGUCGGAUUAGCUAGUUGGCGGGGUAAAGGCCCACCAAGGCGACGAUCCGUAGCUGGUCUGAGAGGAAGAACAGGCCAACUGGGACCGGAGAACGGGCCCGAACCCUACGGGAGGGAGCAGUGGGGAAUUUUGGAACAUGGGGGGAAACCUGAUCCAGCCAUACCGCGUGGGUGAAGAAGGCCUUCGGGUUGUAAAGCCCUUUUGUUGGGAAAGAAAAGCAGCAGGUUAAUACCCCGCUGUUCUGACGGUACCCAAAGAAUAAGCACCGGCUAACUUCGUG